rnacentral:ncRNA from 1 species
CUAUAUUCGCUGUGUUGUUGUAAAUCCAGCAACCGGGUUUAGCAGCCUGAAAU